rnacentral:rRNA from 1 species
ACGCUCACCUUCGGGUGGGAGUGGCAGACGGGUGAGUAACACGUGGGAACGUACCCUUUGGUUCGGGACAACUCUGGGAAACUGGAGCUAAUACCGGAUACGCCCUUUUGGGGAAAGGUUUACUGCCGAAGGAUCGGCCCGCGUCUGAUUAGCUAGUUGGUGGGGUAACGGCCUACCAAGGCGACGAUCAGUAGCUGGUCUGAGAGGAUGAUCAGCCACACUGGGACUGAGACACGGCCCAGACUCCUACGGGAGGCAGCAGUGGGGAAUAUUGGACAAUGGGCGCAAGCCUGAUCCAGCCAUGCCGCGUGAGUGAUGAAGGCCUUAGGGUUGUAAAGCUCUUUUAUCCGGGACGAUAAUGACGGUACCGGAGGAAUAAGCCCCGGCUAACUUCGUGCCAGCAGCCGCGGUAAUACGAAGGGGGCUAGCGUUGCUCGGAAUCACUGGGCGUAAAGGGCGCGUAGGCGGCGUUUUAAGUCGGGGGUGAAAGCCUGUGGCUCAACCACAGAAUGGCCUUCGAUACUGGGACGCUUGAGUCUGGUAGAGGUUGGUGGAACUGCGAGUGUAG